CGUAGGUCAGCAUACUACGGUGAAUACGUUCCCGGGCCUUGUACACACCGCCCGUCAAACCAUGAGAGUUGGCAACACCCGAAGUCGGUAGUCUAACCGCAAGGAGGACGCCGCCGAAGGUGGGGUUGAUGAUUAGGGUUAAGUCGUAACAAGGUAAC
rnacentral:rRNA from 1 species